UGCUCCUACGGGAGGCAGCAGUGGGGAAUAUUGGACAAUGGGGGGAACCCUGAUCCAGCGACGCCGCGUGAGUGAAGAAGUAUUUCGGUAUGUAAAGCUCUAUCAGCAGGGAAGAAAAUGACGGUACCUGACUAAGAAGCCCCGGCUAACUACGUGCCAGCAGCCGCGGUAAUACGUAGGGGGCAAGCGUUAUCCGGAUUUAUUGGGCGUAAAGCGAGUGCAGGCGGUUCAAUAAGGCUGGUGUG
rnacentral:rRNA from 1 species